UGCCAGCCGCCGCGGUAAUACGAACCGUCCAAACGUUAUUCGGUAUCACUGGGCUUAAAGGGUCCGCAGGCGGCCGUGCAAGUUGAGGGUGAAAUCCCCGGGCUCAACCCGGGAACUGCAACUGAUACUGGUGGACUCGAGGACGGUAGGGGUGAGUGGAACUCCAGGUGGAGCGGUGAAAUGCGUAGAUAUCUGGAGGAACACCGGUGGCGAAAGCGACUCACUGGACCGUCUCUGACGCUGAGGUGCGAAAGCUAGGGUAGCAAACGGGAUUAGAUA
rnacentral:rRNA from 1 species